rnacentral:rRNA from 1 species
UACGGAGGUUCCAAGCGUUGUUCGGAGUUACUGGGCGUAAAGCGUCUGUAGGUGGUGAUGCAAGUCACUGGUGCAAAACUCUGGCUCAACCGGAGGAAAGCCAGUGAAACUGCAUGACUAGAGUGUGGGAGAGGUAGAAGGAAUUCCCUGAGUAGCGGUGAAAUGCGUAGAUACAGGGAAGAACACCGGAGGCGAAAGCGUUCUACUGGAACACAACUGACACUGAGAGACCAAAGCUAGGGGAGCGAAUGGG